rnacentral:rRNA from 1 species
UACAGAGGUCUCAAGCGUUAAUCGGAAUUACUGGGCUUAAAGGGUCCGCAGGCGGCCCAGCAAGUACCUUGUGAAAUCUCAGGUCUCAACCCUGAGUCUGCUGGGUAGACUGCUGGUCUUGAGUGCAAAAGGGGUCGCUGGAACUCUAGGUGGAGCGGUGAAAUGCGUAGAUAUCUAGAGGAACGCCAAAGGUGAAGACAGGCGACUGGUUUGCAACUGACGCUCAUGGACGAAAGCGUGGGGAUCAAACGGG